GUGUCAGCAGCCGCGGUAAGACAGAGGGUGCUAGCGUUGUUCGGAAUUACUGGGCGUAAAGGGCGCGUAGGCGGCUCGUUUAGUCGGGUGUGAAAUCCCAAGGCUCAACCUUGGAACUGCAUUCGAUACUGGCGGGCUAGAGACCGGAAGAGGUGGGUGGAAUACCCAGUGUAGAGGUGAAAUUCGUAGAUAUUGGGUGGAACACCGGUGGCGAAGGCGGCUCACUGGUCCGGUUCUGACGCUGAGGCGCGAAAGCGUGGGGAGCAAACAGGAUUAGAAACCCCGGUAGUCC
rnacentral:rRNA from 1 species